CUCGGGAGGCUGAGGUGGUGCCUAAGCCAGCGGAAACGUCAGGCCAAGUCGUACGCUGGGACACGCGUGCUGGGUGGCAUUGGUAAGCUCUCCUGGAAGGUCUCCUACCCAAAGAGUGCCCUGGUUCAGCCUGGCUGAAGUGCAGGUGGCAGGACUAAAGCACAACAUGCA